rnacentral:tRNA from 1 species
UCCCUGGUGGCUCAGUCGGUAAAGCGUCUGCCUGCAAUGCAGGAGACCUAGGUUCGAUCCCUGGUACAGGAA